AGUGACUGACAGUGCACAAAGGCCAUGCACAUGGUGCCCAGCCUUUGUGUUGCUCCUUAUGAACCUGGUUAAAAGAAGGAGCAGCCAGCAAUGGGACACCAGAAGGACAAAGCAUGUCCUCAGUGACCAUGGAUGGAGACAGCCGCAUUCACAGAUUAGCGCUGCCAUGGAAACUUGGUUUGCAGAGCUCCCCAUGGCAAACAAGGAAUGAAUGCCAGGUGAGCAACAACCUGUGACUUGGGAGAUAUAGUUCUACAUUACACUCCCUUACAGACUUCUUUAUGACCAGCUCCUCUGUCUUGGGAAUAUAGACAGAUGCAGUGUGCUCUCUGUAGGCUGGCAAUGCCUGCCCUGAGGGCCACCUGUGUUACCUGGAACAUGCAGCCUGGUGACAGCUCUACUCAAAGCCCAGCAUGGAUGCAUCGCAGCAGUUCUAAGGCACAGAUGAAGGGUUCAACACAACAACUUGCAAUCUAUGUGGUGAAACCUUAUCCCAGAAUCAUAGAAUCACAGAAUCGUAUAAUGGCUUAGCUUGCAAGGGAACUUAGAGACCAUCCAGUUCUAACCCCCUGUCAUGGACAGGACUGCCACUGAACAGAUCAGGCUGCCCAGUGCCCCAUCCAAUCCAGCCUUGAAUGUCUCCAGUGAUGAGGCAUCCAUAACUCUCUGCAUGCCUGUGCCAGUAAACCUUCCCAUGCCUGAACUAACAGCUCUGCUUGUGUGAGGCUGGUGUAGGUAUCUUCAUGCGCACCUCUAAUAGCAAAAGUGCCAUUUGUCACCUCAAAUUUCAGACCUGGAUGGCUAGAAAUCUAGUAAUGAAAGCCCAGUAGAUACCUGCAGUGAUCUAAAAAGUGUGUUUUGUGAGACUGAUGCCCUGAAUGUUAUUACUUGACUGCAUGUUUUACAGCCAGCUGCAUGCCCAUUUGGGGGAAUUUUCGUUUAAAACUUAUGUCCGCAGCAAGGGAAAUGUCAGAAAACACAUUAUUAAACUCAAAAUUGAACCGAUGAAUUCUUCCCAGACAGUAAAACAUUUUCCCUCUCAGUGGAAGAGACUGUGGUUUGACAUUCUUUGUUCUUCAUAAAUCCAAGUUAACCAGUUCUUUUUAUCAGAGAGUUAUUCCCAUUUGCUAUGAAGCAGUUGCUUAAUACUUUGUUGCAGUAUCUUGCCAAGGUUAAACUCGUUGGUUGUUCCCCAUAUUUUCCAUUUCUGCAUAAGAUAGCACGUCAACCUUUCUCUAGUGCCUAGGGGCCUUAUAAACCCACACGAGUUUCUAAUGGCUCAGCAGUUGUCUUGCCUAAGCUGAAAACUGAAUGUCCUCAUUCCUUCCUGGUGUUGGUCUUAUACAGAGAAGUUUGAGGAUUUAAGACUCAGCUGAAUGUAAAAGCAGAAGUAUGGGAAAAGUGCUGGAAAUUGAGAAAAGUCAGUGGCAAAAUUUCCACAGCUUUUAUUGGAAGGAAGAUUUGGAUCUAUGGGCAUGAAUCUGAAAAGGGAAAGACUGGGUUACGUAAAACUGGAGGCUAGCAAUAAAUAUGAGAAAACACUCAACUCAUACAAUGUACUCUAAAUUAUCUGUUUGUGGCAGAUCAUUGCAAAAACAUGAACUAAAAGAAGGAAAACUGCAAAAGCCAAGUCCCCUGAUGUUAGUAUUGGAGCUGUCAGUUUGCAGGUUCUGGUUGGGUGCAUUCAUUUCUGCUGAGCUGCUGUGGUAUCCUGCUGCCCACAGGUACAUGAGAACAUCAGCCACCCUUGUUGUCCAAUGCCCCUUGGCUAAAUGACCUGAACAUGUGUUUCCCUUUGUUCACAACCAGAGGGAAAGUUUCUAUUGCAGCCUAUGUCUCAGUAUGUAAAAGUCCAUGUGUCCGCAUCUGGCUCACUCCAGCUGGGAUGCCUCAAAGCUGCCUUUUCUGCCUAUCGAAGUGUUAAUAGUUUCAUGCUAAGUACGCUAAAGAGGUUCCUUAGAUCCUCAUUUACAUAUGUUUUGUAUUACCCGUGUUUUUGCUUUUCAUGGUUUAUUUUUCCCUCCCACAAGUUGCCACUAUCCCCUUCAUUAAUCCAUCUAAUUGAAACCUGACAUUUUCUGAUUUAUUGUUCCAAGUUCUCUUAAAAUCACCAGUCAGAAGAACAGUUGUACUCCUGUGUAGUUAAAAGAAGAUGUUCAACAGCAAAUUUUGUCUUAGCUGUGUAUAAUGAUUUUUUUUUUUUUUCAUUUGACCUCAGUAAAAGAUUAAAAGAUAACCUUGCAAAGCAUAAGUUUCAUUAAAUCAGCCAUUCAGCGGGCAGGCUGAAUUUUUCAUUUGGAUUUACUUUGUUUUGUGCUUGAAUAUCUUUUAUUAGUAUGUGUUGGAAAAAAGAGGAGGGGCUUGCUAAAAGGAGGACAACGGCAUCCUCUCAUUGGAGCUCAGUCUAUGAGUUACCCUUUCAUGGGAGCUGAUUUGAUCUCCUUUUUUGCUUCUGCAAGCAGGGUGUUUUACCUGCCUUUCUCUUCUGACCUGUAGGUGUGACGUUACCACCUCUGUCUCUUUUGGAGCAAAGCCUGGGCCUUGUCAAAGCUCCCAUAGUGACUGACGGUGAGCAUGGAGCCUGAAGGGCUGCUCGUGGUAAUGGGAAGGAUGGAGCUGGUGGAGGCAGUCGGUGUAGUGCCUCCUGCAAUCCCAUGGUCUGGGGGCAGGCAGCCAAGGGCUCAUCCCUGCCAAACCUGCCUUGCCUCUCACUCCAGCAAUGCAGCAGCAUUAAUAAGGGUAUAAUCAGACACAGGGGAGAUGCUUAUUUCCUGUCGCUUAAAGUAGAUUAAACAGUGUACAAUUCAUAGAAACAACAUUCAGUUGUCUCUUUUAAACUUAAUAUUAAGUCUCUCUUUUUUCCCUGACAAGCUCUUCUCUGUGUCCUUUAAUACAAGAUAUAUUGAGCUUUAAAAAGUAUAUUCAGCUCUUACAUUUCACAGGUUAACUGAUGGAUUUGAGGUGUCUUACAGCAACAAUGUCAGGAACAGCAUCUACCAAACUGUCCAGAGGGAACAGGGAAAAUCAGCACGAGAAAAAUGUAUCCACGACGGAGAACUAUCGUGGAGGCCUCCUGCUGAGAUCCAUCCUGAUGCUGGAACAGGAAGAAAAGCCAAAAAGUGGUGUGAUUGUGUUGACACUACUGCCUGCUGCAAUGAGUCCUGCUUGUCCCACCUGAGCAUUCACAGAUAACAACUGUUGUGGAGCUGCCAGACUCACCCUGCCUUCAUUGUGCACUUCCAUGGACAUGGAGAUGGCAUGGGACAUGGGACAGGCAAGUCUGCGGGCUGCUGUGUUUCCUGAUAUCAGUGAGAAAGGGGAAAGGUGAAUAAUAGCUACUUGGUGUGAGAUUCCCUGCUUCUGCUUUGGGAAGGGAAGUGCAGCAGGGAUUUGGGGAGCCAGGGGAAAUAAGUGAGGUGAUUUUUAUGCUUUGGAUUCAGAGCGCUGCAGUCUGCCUACAUAGUUCCAUUUGGUUUCAGCUUAUGUGAAUUUGGAACAGAGGCUGUUUUGAAAAAAAUGGAGUGAGAGCUGGUCAGAAAAUACAUUUACAACAGCAGGUCACACAUCAUGGGGAAACAUCUAUGUGAUACAUUGUGGGGAGUAAAGUCUGGCUGCAGAUCAGUGCUGCAGGGAAGCAUUAGGAAAAAUUUUCUAGUAUUUGCUUUUUAUUAAAACAAAUCCCCGCAUACAUUUUCUGUGGAAAGGAAGCAUUUCAUACAGACAUUCCCCACAAAGAAAGACUAAAGCUACUCUCUAUAAAAACCUUUCACAUUUUACCUGGAAACAUUUCUAUCUAUUCUAUGUCAUCUCAGAGGUGAAGGCUCUGACCCUCAGACUGAGGAUCAGGAUAACCUAUCUGGAUGAGGAUGAGGAGCACAGUUCUUACAGGAGGAUGGACAAAACUACAAAAUGGGACACAGCAUGCAUUCCAUACCUUCCAAGAAACGUGGGAUAGCAAGGGCGAGAGUUCUAGCCUCUCCAGCUCUUGUUUCUCCAAAAGCUACUUUGUGCGUGAGCAGUAGUUCUACUGCACCAGAGCAAACCCAUCCACCUUCAUUAGCAACACAGACCCCCAAAAGACAAGAUACUUUACUAUAAAGAAUGCUUUUGCUUUUUUUUUCUACAAUGCAUUCGUUCCUAAACACAAACCUAGCUCAUAUACAUAGCUGAUUUUUUUCAAUACAUUUCCAGAGUGUGCAUGCUGAUGGAACAAAAAAACUCCAAAUAUAAGGAAACUCAUUCAUUUGGUUCGCAUUGAUGCUCUCCUUCCAGCUAAUGACUAAUACUGGCUUUAAAGAAACCUGCAUUGUCAUUGAGAAGUAUUGCAUGAAAAGUAGCCUCAGAAAUUGCAGAAAAAUAGCCUCAGAAAUCACUGUGGUAACAGGUCAUAAAUCAGUUAAAGAAUAAUAUCAAAUAAUAAAAAUAGUAUUUUUCCACUACAGUGGAUCGCAAAACUUUCAGAUGUUUCAUGUCGAUGUUAUCAUCUUUUCCCUGAAAGCAAAAGCUUCUUGAUUUCCAUGCAAGCUGCUCUCUACUGAAGCUAGCCAUAGAAUCAUGCAAUCUCCUGAGCUGGAAGUGACCUACAGGAAACAAUGAAUCCAAUUCCUGGCUUCACUCAGCACCAUCCGAAAUCCAAACCCAGUGUCUGUGAGCAGUGUCCAGAUGCUCCUUGAACUCCAGCACUCAGGGCCGUGCCCACAGCCCUGUGCAGCCCAUUCCAUGCCCACCUCUCUCUGGUGCAGAACCAUUCCCUGAGCCCAGCUGCCCUCCCCUCACACAGUUCCAUGCCGUUCCCUCAGCCCUGUCGCUGUCACACAGAGCAGAGCUCAGCGCUGCCCUCCGCUCCCUGUGAGGAGCUGCAGCCGCCAUCAGGCCUCCCCUCAGCUCCUCUGCUCUGGGCUGAGCGCAGCCAGGCACCUCAGCUGCUCCUCACAUAAUGCCUCCUUGUACCUCUUGUGUCUUCCUUGCUUGUGCUUUCAUAUGCCACCAAAUCACAGUAACUUCUGGGAAGGCUUUUAGUGCCAUUCCCUUCAGUCAGGGCACAAAGUCAGAUAUCUGUUUUCUAGCUGUGCAUAAGUACCUUUCUGAUGGGCUUACACACCAGCCCCAUAAGACCACAGUUUCUUAAAGCACAGAGGCUCUUUGGACCCAUGAUCGUUCCAGCUUUGUCAUAGAUAAAUAUCGCAACUUCACAUGCAUUUUUGCAAUCCUGUUCAAGGCAUUUAAUUGCAGGAUGAAUCAGGGCACUUUAACCAGCCAA